GGCCUCGAGUCUUGGGCAGCUGGUGGGAGGUCGCCCUCUAAUGGUUGGCCCUUGAGAGCCGCGGCAGGCCCCUCCGGGACGUGCUACCCGGAUCUACAGCGCGUGGUGGCCGGCAGCACUCUAGGUCAUCAUCCCUCAGAAGAAUGGUUAGAAGGUUACUACUGCUCCAGAAAAUAACGUAGAGGGGGAAAAUCUCUGCCUCCCGUGUUUGCUGAGUAACUGGUAUCACCACACACAUAGGGAACCACGUGGGCCAUGUUGCCAAAAGACAGGAGUAGCACCAAGCUAAAGCACCACGAGACAGGAAAUGAGAACUACAGGAUGAAGGCAAUUUGGUUACGUGAAUUUUAAAUCUGCUGCUGAUGAGGAUAAAGCUGUGGAACUUAGUGGCAUGAAGGUCCUUGGGUAUGAAAUUAAACUGAAGAAAACAAAAGGAAAGGAAACAAAGUGGGAAAAUGAAAGUGAGAGCAAGAAAGCCACUUAUUUCAAGAAAAAUGAGAGCGAGCUUAUUUCUUUUUGGAGGUAAAGAAUGUUCCUACCUGUUUGAGAUGCAAACAAAGUCUGUCUGUGUCAAAGGAAUAUAAUCUAAGACACCAUUAGGAAACAAACCAUAGUAAGAACCAUGAUGGAUAUACAGAAAAGAUGCAUGAUAAAAGACUUAACAAACUGAAAAAAGGACUGAAACUUCAACAUGAUUUGCUUUUGAAUGGGAAUAAAACAGUGAUGUUUCUAUGAAAUGUAGUUAUGUAUUAAAUGAGAAAAUUCCCCAGUGAAUCAAAACCUUUUACAGAUGGUGAGUUUAUAAAAUAAUGUCUGUUGAGUGCUGCAGAAAUCAUGUGCCCUGAACAGAGACAAGCAUUUGCCAGUAUAUGACUGGUAAUAUGUUGCACAACAUGUGGACAACAUGACUGAGGACUUACAGGACAAGUUGCAAGAAAAAGCUAAAUCAUUUGUGGCU